rnacentral:tRNA from 1 species
AGCAGAGUGGCUCAGCAGAAAGAGCCUGGUCUUGGGAGUCAGAGGUCAUGAGUUCGAAUCCCAGUUCUGCCA